GCGAUAGCAAAGCAAACGGUUUUUAACACAGUGCUGCCUCUGUCGAACAAUCGGUAAAGUAAAACAGCAUUCAAUCUCUAUAGACACAGCAGAUUUUGGUAUUACGUAUGAGUUUUAAGAGCGAUCGAAUAGCGAUCAGCGAACAAAUACAACUGUCAAAUAGCAAAUGGUAAAUCAUUGAUUGUUGGUCGAUCGCUCGCUGAUCGCUCAGUUCGUAACGCUGUUUAUUAAUAGUUUUAAUUUGAUUAUUAAGGGUUUUUGUUUCAAUUUGUGCCUAUUUGGAUAUGGCUAGUGUAUUUUUAUUGUUAGAAGCUAUGAAUGGGGAAACUAGAAAAGCGUAAGACAUCUACUUUGCGGCGCAAUCUUCGAGAUGAUGCCGAAGCUUUGGAUCUGCCUAAUAAUUAAAUCCCAAGAAUUGUGCGAUGAAUUAAGGCCUUAUAAGUCGCAAACACGCAGGAGAAAUAAAAAUUUGUGUUGAGUGUAAAGUGCUAACAGUACUCUCCUUCACUAUAGGCUCAUAUCAAAACCUGCAGGUAUGAGCUAGUCACAUGUUCUGAGCCAAGCUAAUGUGUCAAAUUUAGUAAAUAAGGUGAUGAAAGCUCUAAAUUCGAGAGAAAUUUUGAUGAGAUAUAUUUGUUUCCCUCAGUCAUGGCAGCAAAGAAAUAAUGACAUAUAUGGGUAUGGUCCUAAUUAUAUAAAAUUGUAUUUAAUUUAAAGUAAAAUUUACAAACUUCAUUUCUUUCAGUUUUUCAAACAAAUUUGGCUGUGUGGGUUGCAUUGAUUAACAUGCUGAAUAUUUUUUAAUGGAAAGGAUUACCACGGUAUAAAUGUUCAAGUUAUAUGUUACAGUGAUUCAAAUAUAGUUAAUGUGGAUGCAUCAUUUAGUGGGAUGAGUCAUGAUGCAUAUAUCUGGAGAAACUGUGAAAUGCAGGCUCAAUUACAAAACUUACACAGUAGAGGAGAAAGGAUCUGGUUAUUAGGGGACUUGGGGCAUCCAUUAAUGACAUGGCUUUCAAAUCCAAUUGUGAAUGCAGAAGAAGGUUCCACAGAACAUUAUACCAAUAUUUACUACAACUUCGCCAGGAAUUUGAUUGAGCAUUACAUUGGAAUAUUAAAGCAUGUUGGAAAGUUUGCUAGCCACAGUGUUGGAUUAUGAUCAUCAUAAUAUGGUAGCAAUAA